rnacentral:rRNA from 1 species
CCCUUAGAUGUUCUGGGCAGCACGCGCGCUACAAUGGUCUUCGCAAACGGAUGCAUUCUCGAAGGAAAAUGCCAAUCUUGGAAUCUAUGCCUUGGUCGGGACAGUUGCUUGCAAUUUUUCGACUCGAACCAGGAAUUCCUUGUAAUCGUGAUUCAUCACAUCACGAUGAAUACGUCCCUGCCCUUUGUACACACCGCCCGUCGCUCCUACCGAUCGAAGAGUUAGGUGAAUUGUUUUGAUCGAUAAGAUUUGACUAUGGUCAACUCUCGUUGUGAAAUUCUGUGAAUCUGACUGUUUAGAGGAAGGAAAAGUCGUAACA